CCGUAGGUGAACCUGCGGAGGGAUCAUUACUGAGUUUACGCUCUACAACCCUUUGUGAACAUACCUACAACUGUUGCUUCGGCGGGUAGGGUCUCCGCGACCCUCCCGGCCUCCCGCCUCCGGGCGGGUCGGCGCCCGCCGGAGGAUAACCAAACUCUGAUUUAACGACGUUUCUUCUGAGUGGUACAAGCAAAUAAUCAAAACUUUUAACAACGGAUCUCUUGGUUCUGGCAUCGAUGAAGAACGCAGCGAAAUGCGAUAAGUAAUGUGAAUUGCAGAAUUCAGUGAAUCAUCGAAUCUUUGAACGCACAUUGCGCCCGCCAGCAUUCUGGCGGGCAUGCCUGUUCGAGCGUCAUUUCAACCCUCAAGCUCUGCUUGGUGUUGGGGCCCUACAGCCGAUGUAGGCCCUCAAAGGUAGUGGCGGACCCUCCCGGAGCCUCCUUUGCGUAGUAACUUUACGUCUCGCACUGGGAUCCGGAGGGACUCUUGCCGUAAAACCCCCCAAUUUUCCAAAGGUUGACCUCGGAUCAGGUAGGAAUACCCGCUGAACUUAAGCAUAUCA
rnacentral:rRNA from 1 species